rnacentral:piRNA from 1 species
UGAUAUGGCUACAAGGAAUUAAAUCAAGGC